GGAAAGAAGAAUCCCAAACACACUAAUACAUCAACGUAAAAAUCUAAAUCGAAUUAGGUAAAAAAAACUUAAGCACGUUCUCCACGAAUCCUUCUAGCCAAUUGAAUGUCCUUAGGCAUGAUCGUAACCCUUUUAGCGUGAAUAGCGCAAAGAUUGGUAUCCUCGAAAAGUCCAACAAGGUAUGCCUCAGCCGCCUCUUGAAGAGCUAACACCGCGUGACUCUGAAACCUCAGAUCCGUCUGCAAAUUCCAAUUCACAAAUUAGUAAACCUAAUUCCACAAUAUCAUCUCAAUCCGCCGCUAAUCUAUCUAGGAUCAAGUUUAUGAGAAUUAAUUGUACCUUGAAGUCCUGAGCGAUUUCACGAACGAGACGCUGGAAGGGAAGCUUGCGGAUCAACAAUUCAGUGCUCUUCUGGUAUUUACGAAUCUCACGAAGAGCGACGGUUCCGGGACGGUAACGGUGAGGCUUCUUGACUCCUCCGGUGGUCGGUGCAGAUUUCCUCGCCGCCUGUAUUUAAAGAAUUCGUUAGAGACGCAAUCAAAAAUUCAGCUUAGAUAUAAACCCUAGAUCCCCUUUCAACCAAUUUCAUCAGCAAAAAAAUCAAAACCUCAAGAUUCCACCUAAAUUAAGAUCAUAAACUCAAAUUUCAACUAAAUUUACAAAACCUAGGUCAUCUUUUACUGAUUUAAAACUCCUAAUUCAACGCAAAUUUGAACCCUAGAUCUACUUAUUGCGUACAAGACGAGAGAUGAAAGAACAAACCU
rnacentral:lncRNA from 1 species